rnacentral:rRNA from 1 species
GCCUAANGACGGGUAGCCGGCCUUAGCGGGUGAACGGCCACANUGGGGACUGAGACACGGGCCUAANGACGGGUAGCCGGCCUUAGCGGGUGAACGGCCACAUGGGGACUGAGACACGGCCCUGACUCCUACGGGAGGCAGCAGUGAGGAAUAUUGCGCAAUGGGCGAAAGCCUGACGCAGCGACGCCGCGUGGGGGAAGAAGGUUUUCGGAUUGUAAACCCCUUUUAGGAGGAAAGAUGGGGUGGGUUUCCACCCGGACGGUGCCUCCAGAAAAAGCCACGGCUAACUUCGUGCCAGCAGCCGCGGUAAUACGAAGGUGGCGAGCGUUGUUCGGAUUUACUGGGCGUAAAGAGCACGUAGGCGGUUUAGUAAGCCCCUUGGGAAAGCUACGGGCUUAACCCGUAAAGGUCGAGGGGGACUGCUAAGCUAGAGGGCGGGAGAGGAGCGCGGAAUUUCCGGUGUAGCGGUGAAAUGCGUA